rnacentral:rRNA from 1 species
CGGUUGAUCCUGCCGGAGGACAUUGCUAUUGGGAUUCGAUUUAGCCAUGCUAGUCGAGCGAGUUCAGACUCGCGGCGAAUAGCUCAGUAACACGUGGCCAAGUUACCCUUCAGUCAGCGAUACCCUCGGGAAACUGAGGUUAACAGCUGAUACAAAACGUUUGCUGGAAUGCGGCGUUUCAGAAAGAUCACGCUGAAGGAUGCGGUUGCGGCCGAUUAGGUAGACGGUGGGGUAACGGCCCACCGUGCCAGUAAUCGGUACGGGUGAUGAGAGUCAGAGCCCGGAGACGGAAUCUGAGACAAGAUUCCGGGCCCUACGGGGCGCAGCAGGCGCGAAACCUUUACACUGCACGGAAGUGCGAUAGGGGAAUCCCAAGUGCGAGGGCAUAUUAGCCCUCGCUUUUCUCGACUCUAAGGUGGUCGACGAAUAAGAGCUGGGCAAGACCGGUGCCAGCCGCCGCGGU